rnacentral:rRNA from 1 species
UACAGAGGGUGCGAGCGUUAAUCGGAAUUACUGGGCGUAAAGCGUGCGUAGACGGUUAUUUAAGUCGGAUGUGAAAGCCCCGGGCUCAACCUGGGAAUUGCAUUCGAGACUGAAUAGCUAGGGUACGGUAGAGGGAAGCGGAAUUUCCGGUGUAGCGGUGAAAUGCGCAGAUAUCAGGAGGAACACCGGUGGCGAAGGCGGGUCUCUGGGCCGAUACUGACGCUGAGGAGCGAAAGCGUGGGGAGCAAACAGG